rnacentral:lncRNA from 1 species
UCACUUUGAGGUAUUGCCCUGACUAGAUUUUCUUCACAUUUUUGUAUUGUGUGUCUGGAAAAGAAUUUUGUACAUCAGUCUCUUAUAUAUGGUAAUUUUGAUGUAUCCUGUCCUUCCAUUUGACUUAGGACACAAAUGAUGAUGAUUGGAUUACAAAAUACUUCUUCACCGGUGGAACAAUGCCUUCAGCUAAUCUACUUCUUUAUUUCCAGGUCAGUUUUGUACCCUUUUUUUUCCUUUUUGUUUUUUUUGAACUUGUGAUACUUCUGUUCUCUCUACUUCAUCUAAUAAAUUUAUGUACAGGACGAUGUUUCUGUUGUUGAUCACUGGCUUGUGAAUGGAAAGCAUUAUGCACAAACCAGGUAGCUAGACUCGAAUUACUCUGCAAUAUUUAUGGAGUUUUGAACUUCUUAUGUACUCUCAGAUGACAGUGAUAAAAUAACAUGUUUUCUUGCAGUGAAGAGUGGCUCAAAAGAAUGGACAACAACUUGGCUUCAAUUAAGCCGAUAAUGGAGUCAACAUAUGGAAAGGAUCAAGCUGUCAAGUGGACUGUUUAUUGGAGAACAUUCUUUAUAGCUGUUGCAGAACUCUUUGGAUACAACAAUGGAGAAGAAUGGAUGGUUACACAUUUCCUAUUCAGAAAGAAAAUGGAGUAGAAGGAUGCUGGAGAAAGAAAGCAAGCAUGUGUUUGUAAAACUGACAAUUGUUUUAGUGUGUGUUUUGCAUUUUAAAUGAAAAUAAGGCUUGCCUUGUAAUCAUUAUAAGGCAGCUGCUAAGUUGGACCAUAUCAUUGACGGUGCACGUAGCGUUACAGAUGGCCCCUGAUGUUGAUGAUUUCUAUGAUUCCCUAUAGGAGAUUCUAGCCAUUGUGGCCCGGGACAAAGGCCCUGUCUAGUGCACAUAGCCCUAACAAUCAUUGUAAUGGAGGGAGCCCUGUCUAAUGCCUGUAAUGGAUACUCAGCUCUCCAGUUGGUUUCUCUUUCUCAUAUUUCUCGGUUUACGCUGAAUCAAGUCACUGCGUUUGAAUCAUCAAUAAAUUUUUUUUUUUUUUUUUAUAUUAAUCACGAGGUAUCCUGGGGAGGGCCCCAACUGUGGGAGGCACCUUUAAGCCCGUACCACAACCCAGACUAGAAGUCCCCGCUCGAACCGGGAGACACAGGUUCUCCCAACAAAGGCGACUUCCCUGCGACUCGAACUGGGGAGCAAACCCAGUCAAGCCACUUAAGGGGACUCCAUUGCCAGUGGAGCCAACACUUUGUUGGUAACAAAUUUUUUUUAUCACAUCUUCUAAAACAUAAUCAAUAAAUAUUCCACAUAAUUUUUCGAUUUUAAAAAUCGUAUUAUAUCUACAGGGCAAAACUAUCUUAGCCUCGUUGUACCAAACACCAUUUUGGUAUUUUCUUUAGCAGUCCCUAUAGUUUUAUGUAAAUAAUAAAAAGUAUAAGUUUUUAAAAUGUUAUACAUAAGCCUCAAUUAAAAUAUAAUAAUUUCAAAAUUUUUAAAAAUUUAUUUGGCAUUUUCUUCAACAAUCCCUAUUAUUUUCUAUAAAUAAUAAAAACUAUAAGUUUUAAUAAUUUUAUGUAAUAAACCCAAUUAAAAUAUAAUAAUUCUAAAAUUCUAAAAAAUGUAUUCUCUCUCUCCUUCUAAACCAAUUUUAAAUUUAAGUUUCAUUUUUUAUAAUUUUAAAUUUAAGUAAUAGAAUACAUAUUAUACAAUUUGUUUGUUUUCAUAUUAAAUAAAUAAUUGAUUAGCUCCAUACGUGUGAUAAAGUAUAAGUAAUUUUACACAAUCUCAAAUUUACAUACAGAAAUUUAUUAUUUUGAAAAUAUUAUCUAUAAACUAUAUAAUAAAUUUAAAGGACUAUCCAAGCAUUUAUUUAAUAUUUAUCUAUUUUUUAUUUUAAUAUUGUCAAAAUUUAUAUAAAACCUUGUCCAAUUUUGUGUUACAUUAAAUACGAAAUAGUAUUAUGAAAAUCUAAUUGGUAUUUUAAGUAAAUGGAAGUGGAGAGUAUUUUACCAAGUUAAAAUAAUCCAUCCAUAUUUUUAAUAUAUAAAUAUAUUCAUUUACUAAAUUGCCUGUGAUAAUAAAAUAUUUUAACGGACCAAUGUGUCAAAAUUUUAAAACUUAAUAUUUUCUUAUUCUCUUAAUAAACAUAAGAGACCACAUCGUUAAUAACCAAAUAAUACCAUCCACCCGUUGGAAUAGCCUUUGCAACUCUUGGGAUAGAUCACAAAAAGACAAAAAAAAAAAAAAAAGGUAUGAAAGCUGGACCCUAUAUCUACAUAUAUAAAUCAAUUAUUGGGAAUUUGGGGUGCAUGAUUGAUCGCCCAUGCUUUUCAGUUUGUAAAUUAAUCAGUUACCGAAAGAAUGUAGAUGAGUCUGAAAAUGAUGUUUGAUGAACUGAUGAUGCAGUGAAGAUCUCAUUGAUUUUUAAAAUAAAACUGUAAGACAUGGUAAAACAAAAAUUAAAAAAUUAUCCUGUCAAAAUAUUGCGAGCCAAAUGCAGAAAAAAAAAAAACAAAAACAAAAACAACAAUUGCGCUUUGAUUUCUUUUUUUUUUAAUUAUAUGAGACUAAUGCUCAUAUUACAACUCAUAUUAUAUGAAAUGUACAAUUGAUAUUUACAAUAAGAUAAUUAUUGGGACUAAUUUACAUUAAUUCUUAUAUAAUACUGUCCAAAUUUUACCCUUUUAAAUAUUUGAAAGAUAUCUACUCUACUUACAUUUCGAAAAAAAAAAUUAAUUUCACUUAAUUAUAUACUAUAAUUAAGAAAAAAAAUAAGUCUUUAUAUGUGUCACGGGAGCUCAAACGUCUACUUCAUUUAUAUUUCAAAAUAAUAACUGACGGUCUUCACUUAAUUAUAUAUUAUAAUUAAAAAAAAUAAAUCUUUACAUAUAUUACAGGAGUUCGAACCGCUACCCGAACCGCUAUCCACACGUUUACGAGUGCAGGCACUUUAUCAACCGUCACCCUCACAUGGUCACAUUUAUGUGGUCAAAGGCCCGGUGGUUGCUUCGAUUUCCAUUUUAAAUACACUGACAGCGACGCAAGAAUUUUUUAAAUUAGUAUAUUUUAUUUAAUUAGGAACCAAUUAUUUUGAUCACCAAUGCCAAUCCAAUCAAUUUUAUAAACUUUUUUUUUUAUUAAUCACGAGAUUUUUUAGAAAAGGUCCCAACUAUAAGAGACACUUUUAAAUUUACACCAUAACUUAAAUUAAAAAUUUUUACUUAAAUUAAAAUAUACAAAUUCUCUAAACAAAAGCGACCUUCUGCCGCUUUAUAAGCCUUUAAUUAUUUACUGAAUACAUCUGAAGGUUUCAGGUGACAGUGUCAUCUUUAAAAAUCAACUUUUCAUUUGGAAAGAAAACAAAAAGAAAAAGUUGAACUGAGCAGGGUGAGGAUCAAAUCAGCCAUGACCCAAGGGUCAUUAAAGCAUCACCGGACAAGUGUUUGAAAUGCAAAAGAAAAAAAACGCAGUUAUAAAAUUCACAAUUAAUAUUGCAACCGAAAAAAAGAGCGAGAAGUGACGGGAUUAAUUGCGUCACCGUACUAUGCAACAAAGCGGCUAAUGCUGGCUUCACUUGAACGGAACUUGCUACCGGACGCCGUCAUAAGGAGGCUCUGCCGCAAGAUCUUGGCCGAUCGCCUCCACUCCGGUUACAAAGCUUCGUCUGAGCUCUAACUCGCUGACCUACUCCGUAUCGUACAUGGUAACCAGUACCCACCCAAUGCUCCCGUCUUCAUACCGUACUCCUCUUUUAAUAUUUAGUUAUUAUUGAGCUUCGAGCUCGCCCUUACGUAUCACUAGCUGUCAACUUAAAUUUUGUGGAUAUGAGGGAGAUGCCCAUAGCCAUCAACACGGACUCUUGUACUGCCAAACUCUUUCUUUGAGAUGGUUCUUGGUAAAAAUCUCAAAAAUAGGUAUUAAUUCCACGCUCAUUUACUUUAUAAUUAGCUUUUCGAUUAAUAAAAGUCAAUUUCUGAUUUUAUCUCUAUGAAUAAGCCGCCGUUACUUCUCUGAUAAGUGAACCACCUUAGAUGAUGCUGAGGAAGCAAUGCUGGAGAUGUACUGUGAGGGGUCGCAGUUAAAAAGACGGUCACAGUGUUCUUGAUCUUGGAUGGGGCUUUUGUGGCGCUCUGUCUACACCUUGCUAAAAAAUGCAGAGAAAGCUUAUAUCGAUGAGCAGAUUUGGUAUGUAUGCUUUUUAAUUCGAUACAUUUUGACAUAUUUACAUAAUCCCAUAUGCAUCCAAAUUUGCUCUUAACCAUUUAUUUUCUAACGGCUUUGUAGGGUUCUUGAGCAUCAGAUUGUGGAGAAGAUGCUCGCAGAUAUCCACUCAUUCAAACUGGAACCAUCCCAUGAUUGUAUAUUCUCCAUUGGAAUAUUCGAGGUCAAUAUCAGUAGAUUAUAAUAUAAUUUUUAUUUUUUUGAAAAAAAAAUAACAAUAAUAAAGUGUUAUUACCGUUCGCCGGCAGUGCUGUUGAGUAAAUUUGGUUUUAUAUUUGACAGUGAAUGAAUUCUCAACAAGAAAUCAAAGUGGAUGAAAGAAGAUGCCCUCCUUUUUGUUGAGCAUAACUGCCACAAAAGGUUUGCCCAUCACUUUAAGGUAUUGACGGACUUGAUUCCCUCUAGUGUCAAUUGGUUAACAAUUACAGUGUAGUGUUAAAUGAAAGUAUUAAAUACAUAGGGAAAAAUAAGGGACUAGGAUUUACUCUUCAUCACAAACCAUAACUUGGUCAAGUGGAGGGCACAUUCUCAGUUCAUUCUUGAGGUUGAGGGUUAGAUCCUUCCAUGUGUAUUGCCACAUUGAUUUUCUUCCAGUUACUUGAAAAUAGACCCGGCCUAUUUUCAAACAUAUAAAUAUUUGCAUUUGAGAAUGACUCAAAUUGUGUAUCAG